GGGGAUAUUCAGUGCCCCCCCCUAAGGGGGCUGGUAACGCGUAGAUACAAGUGAUAUGACUGUAUAAUCAGUCACUUCGCUACCUGUCAUGCUACUGCGCGUUAGCGGUCAUGGUUGGCCAGAUAGGACAGGUUAUUGCAGAGAGGAGUGCCGCGUUUAUGCUUGAUGGAUAAGCGGUUUCAGUUAUUAGGGCGAUGGCGCCGGAGGGGGCCCGGCGCUUUUU
rnacentral:sRNA from 1 species